AGUUCGAUCAUGGUUCAGAUUGAACGCUGGCGGGUUUACACAUGCAAGUCGAACGGCAGCACGGACUUCGUCCGCGUGGCGAGUGGCGAACGGGUGAGUAAUGUAUCGGAACGUGCCUAGUAGCGGGGAUAACUACGCGAAAGCGUAGCUAAUACCGUAUACGCCCUUCGGGGGAGCGGGGACCUCGGGCCUCGCACUAUUAGAGCGGCCGAUAUCGGAUUAGCUAGUUGGUGGGGUAACGGCUCACCAAGGCGACGAUCCGCAGCUGGUUUGAGAGGACGACCAGCCACACUGGGACUGAGACACGGCCCAGACUCCUACGGAGUGCUAUGGGGAAUUUUGGGACAAUGGGGGAAACCCCGAUCCAGCCAUCCCGCGUGUGCGAUGAAGGCCUUCGGGUUGUAAAGCACUUUUGGCGGGAAAAGAAACGGCACGGGAUAAUACUCCGUGCAACUGACGGUACCUGCAGAACAGCCAGCAGCCGCGGUAAUACGUAGGGUGCAAGCGUUAACGGAAUUACUGGGCGUAAAAGCGUGCGCAGGCGGUUCGGAAAGAAAGAUGUGAACCAGAGCUUAACUUUGGAACUGCAUUUUUAACUACCGAGCUAGAGUGCGGCCAGAGGGAGAAUUCCGCGUGUAGCAGUGAAAUGCGUAGAUAUGCGGAGGAACACCGAUGGCGAAGGCAGCUCUGGAUAACACUGACGCUCAUGCACGAAAGCGUGGGGAGCAAACAGGAUUAGAUACCCUGGUAGUCCACGCCCUAAACGAUGUCAACUACACGUUGGGGCCUUCGGGCCUUGGUAGCGCAGCUAACGCGUGAAGCGACCGCCUGGGGGAGUCGGUCGUAAGAUUAAAACUCAAAGGAAUUACCGGGACCCGCACAAGCGGUGGAUGAUGUGGAUUAACGGACGUACGCGAAAACCUUACCUAAAUUCUCGACGUCUGAAUCCCGAAGUGGAUUUGGGAGUGCCCGCAAAGAGAAACCGAACAGGUGCUGCAUGGCUGAGUCGUCAGCUCGUGUCGUGAGAUGUUGGGUUAAGUCCCGUAACGGAGCGCAACCCUUGUCAUUAGUUGCUACGAAAGGGCACCUCGACGAGACUGCCGGUGACAAACCGGGAGAUACGACGUCGUCCUCAUGGUCUUAGGCCGCUGACGUCAUACACACGCAUUGUAGAGGGUCGCCAACCCGCGAGGGGGAGCCAAUCCCAGAAACCCGAUCAGUCCGGAUCGCAGUUCGUAACUCGACUGCGUGAAGUCGGAAUCGCUAGUAAUCGCGGAUCAGGCAUGUCGCGGUGAAUACGUUCGGUCUGUACACCGCCCGUCGGGCGAAUUGAAGUGGGAGUAAUACCAGCGUAGUUAGCCUAACCGUAAGGAGGGCGAUUGACGUGAGAGUCUAUGACUGUGUGAAGUCGUAACAAGUGU
rnacentral:rRNA from 1 species